UACAGAGGGGGCAAGCGUUAUUCGGAAUUAUUGGGCGUAAAGGGCGCGUAGGCGGCUUGGCGAGUGGAUGGUGAAAUCCCUCGGCUUAACCGAGGAACUGCCGUCCAAACUGCUUUGCUUGAGACCGGGAGAGGUGAGUGGAAUUCCCAGUGUAGCGGUGAAAUGCGUAGAUAUUGGGAGGAACACCAGUGGCGAAGGCGGCUCACUGGACCGGUACUGACGCUGAUGCGCGAAAGCGUGGGGAGCAAACAGG
rnacentral:rRNA from 1 species